GAGACAUAUGUUGAAUUGAAUCAUUCGAGCAGCGGACGGGUGAGUAAAGCACAAGGACUUGUCCGAAAGAGAGGGACACCUGCGGGAAACCGGAGCUAAUACCUCAUAAGCCGGAAGGUGAAAAGCAGAGAUGCGCUUUUGGAGAGACUUGUGUCCUAUCAGGCAGUUGGUGAGGUGAAAGCUCACCAAACCGAAGACGGGUAGCCGGACUGAGAGGUCGACCGGCCACAUUGGAACUGAGAGACGGUCCAGACUCCUACGGGAGGCAGCAGUGGGGAAUAUUGGGCAAUGGGCGGAAGCCUGACCCAGCGACGCCGCGUGAGGGAAGACAGCCUUCGGGUUGUAAACCUCUGUUGCAGGGGAAGAAGGAAGUGACGGUACCCUGCGAGGAAGCUCCGGCUAACUACGUGCCAGCAGCCGCGGUAAUACGUAGGGAGCGAGCGUUGUCCGGAAUUACUGGGCGUAAAGGGCGCGUAGGCGGCGCUUCAAGUCGUCUGUCAAAUGGAAGGGCUUAACCCUUUUUCGCAGACGAAACUGGAGAGCUUGAGAAGCAGAGAGGCAAACAGAAUUCCUGGUGUAGCGGUGAAAUGCGUAGAUAUCAGGAAGAAUACCAGUGGCGAAGGCGGUUUGCUGGCUGCAUACUGACGCUGAAGCGCGAAAGCCAGGGGAGCGAACGGGAUUAGAUACCCCGGUAGUCCUGGCAGUAAACGAUGUAUGCUGGGUGUGAGACUAGCGAUAGUUUCGUGCCGAAGUU
rnacentral:rRNA from 1 species